CACAGAAGGCGGGGCCAGGGCCGCUGCCGGGUGCUGGAGGCGCCAUUGGAGCCGGCUUGGCUGGCGAGCCCCGCUGAGGAGCCGGAGGUUGGGCCGCAGUUACCGCCGCGUCCGCUCCCGGUUCCUGGCCCCUCAGCAGCAUGGCAUGCGGGGCGACGCUGAAGCGGCCCAUGGAGUUCGAGGCGGCGCUGCUGAGCCCCGGCUCCCCGAAGCGGCGGCGCUGCGCCCCUCUGCCCGGCCCCACUCCGGGCCUCAGGCCCCCGGACGCCGAGCCGCCGCCGCCACCGUUUCAGACGCAGACCCUACCGCAGAGUCUGCAGCAGCCCGCCCCGCCCGGCAGCGAGCGGCGCCUUCCAACACCGGAGCAAAUUUUUCAGAACAUAAAACAAGAAUAUAGUCGUUAUCAGAGGUGGAGACAUUUAGAAGUUGUUCUUAAUCAGAGUGAAGCUUGUGCUUCGGAAAGUCAACCUCACUCCUCAGCACUCACAGCACCUAGCUCUCCAGGUUCCUCAUGGAUGAAGAAGGACCAGCCCACCUUUACCCUCCGACAAGUUGGAAUAAUAUGUGAGCGUCUCUUAAAAGACUAUGAAGAUAAAAUUCGGGAGGAGUAUGAGCAAAUCCUCAAUACCAAACUAGCAGGGAGAGUUGCUGAGGAUAAGUAUGUACCGUCUUCUCACAGAACAAUAUGAAUCUUUUGUGAAAUUCACACAUGAUCAGAUUAUGCGACGGUAUGGGACAAGGCCAACAAGCUAUGUGUCCUGAAGCUUUGUCACAUAUCUGGGUACCAGGUUUGACCUCAAGAGAUGGCUGCUGUACACUUUUUGCAACUGGUUUGAUAUCACAUUUCAGCUCCAACUUUGCAUCCUGAGAACACUUAAACGUUUCUGCAGGUCCAUUUUAUACAACUUGAAAGACCGUAAAACUUUCUGGUUGCCACAAGCAUAUCUUUCUUUUCUGCUCAUCCAAUAAACAGCUGUGCCCUACUGUGAUAGAUUUUCCAAACAAAAAUACCUGGAGCAGCAGUUUAGCAAAAUAUGCCUUCAGUGGCACUCAACAAAUGGAGUUUCCCCAAGCACAGUUCUGUAAGAAGUGCGUGUGAGAGUGUGUGUAUAUGUGUGUAUGUGUAUUUUAAGUUAUUAUUUGUAUUGUGCAAAAAAAAUUUUUUUUAUCUUGGGGAUUCUGGCUGUGAAUUUGGUGCACGACAAUUAUGGUAAAAAAACAUUUGCUUGGUCUACAGGAGAUCAUUAAUGUUUUGUGACCAUAUAAGUUGUAACAGUGGAUUGUUUUUAUGUGUAGGUAUUGUUAAAUACAGGGACUGUUUCCAGGCACAGAACAUGAAUCGUAAGUUAGGAUGGACAUUAGAUGUGAUUAUGAUGAUAAAGCGAAGGUCUGCGGUCCUACAUCUACAGAUGCGUGGUGAGAAAUUAGAACAAACUGGAGAUGGGCCAUUGACACAUGGACUCUGCCUGGGCAUGUUAGGAAAAUACUUUGACUCCAAGCCUUAAAAUACUCACAUGGAGUCGGCGCUCACCUCAUUCACACAAUCAUAGAGCUCCCUGGACACUGAACCUCUAAAGGGAAAAGGUCUACCCUGGAGCAGGAGCAUCAGGGUUUGCUUGGGAGCAUAAGAGGUGAGCUCAGGGCUAGGCCUGGGCCAGGCCCCGGCAGCACUGCUACUUGGGAGGAGCCACUUCACCUUUGUAUUAGUUAUUAAAAAUAUAAUUUGGGCUGGACGCAGUGGCUCACGCCUAUAAUCCCAGCACUUUGGGAGUCGGAGGCAUGCGGAUCACUUGAGGUCAGGAGUGCGAGACCACCCUGGCCAAUACGGUGAAACCCCGUCUCUUCUAAAAAUACAACAAAAUAAGCCGGGCUUGGUGGCAGGCGCCUGUAAUCCCAGCUGCUUGGGAGGCUGAGGCAGGAGAAUCGCUUGAACCCUGGAGGUGGAGGUUGCAGUGAGCACAGAUCACGCCACUGCACUCCAGCCUGGGUGACAAAACGAGACUUCGUCUCAAAAAAAACCAUAGAAUUUGGAUCCUUUGGUCAGAUUCUCCCAAAUUCUUUUGAGGUGUCCAUGGUCAACUGCUUCAGCUUUGUUUUGGCAACCCCCUGCCCAAAGUCGCAUAUAGGCUGUUCUUCACCUUGUUUCCAAGGCUGAGGAACAGAAAGUAGCCUCUGUUUUGAGGAGGUGGAAGUUAAGUAUACAUUUAUUUUUUACUGUGACUUGUUCAGGACCACAUUUUACAAAAUGCCUUGUUUCCUUUAUUGUUUCUGGAAAGGAAAGUUCUAUUAAUAUUGUUUUACUUUGAAUAUAGAAUAGUUUUUUUAAUUAGGGCUUAUUUUGAAAAAUUCUGAGUUUAAUUCAAAUGUAUGCCAAUACCUUCCAAAGUAAGGUAAUAUUCAGAGACAGUUGUUCUGAUCAGAUGGCUUAGAGAAAUUUCUGGAAUAUUCACAUUCGAAGAUUCCUUAUUAAUGAAUGUCUUUGACUUAAAUCUAACCAAAAACUGCAACAUUAUUCUUUGUACAUUUUCAUUAUAUAGUGUUAACAAGCUUAGUUGCAAACAAAUAAAAUACUUAAGCUAUUUGUUUA